GACGAACGCUGGCGGCGUGCUUAACACAUGCAAGUCGAGCGAACAAAACUCCUUCGGGAGUGGAGUUAGCGGCGGACGGGUGAGUAACACGUGGGUAACCUGCCUUAUAGAGGGGGAUAGCCUUCCGAAAGGAAGAUUAAUACCGCAUAAGAAGUAGAAGUCGCAUGGCUUUAGCUUUAAAGGAGCAAUCCGCUAUAAGAUGGACCCGCGGCGCAUUAGCUAGUUGGUGAGGUAACGGCUCACCAAGGCGACGAUGCGUAGCCGACCUGAGAGGGUGAUCGGCCACAUUGGAACUGAGACACGGUCCAGACUCCUACGGGAGGCAGCAGUGGGGAAUAUUGCACAAUGGGCGGAAGCCUGAUGCAGCAACGCCGCGUGGGUGAUGAAGGUUUUCGGAUCGUAAAGCCCUGUCCUUUGGGACGAUAAUGACGGUACCAAAGGAGGAAGCCACGGCUAACUACGUGCCAGCAGCCGCCGUAAUAC
rnacentral:rRNA from 1 species